rnacentral:rRNA from 1 species
UACGUAGGGUGCGAGCGUUAAUCGGAAUUACUGGGCGUAAAGCGUGCGUAGGCGGUCCCGCAAGUCCGCUGUGAAAGCCCCGAGCUUAACUUGGGAACUGCAGUGGAAACUAUGGGACUUGAAUCCGGCAGAGGGGGGGUGGAAUGCCACGUGUAGCAGUGAAAUGCGUAGAGAUGUGGCGGAACACCGAUGGCGAAGGCAGCCCCCUGGGCUGAGAUUGACGCUCAGGCACGAAAGCGUGGGGAGCAAACAGG